UCCAUAAUUGCCAUUUGCCACGCCCAACUUGAUUGUGGCGAAAACCCGGAAGUAAUGUACAUAAUAUAAGGCCUUGCUACAACGCCGCGCACAACUAGAAAGCUAAAAGCCUCAUAGUGGACAGACAAGAUAGAAUGUACAAUGACUUGUGGACACGAAGGACCGCAGCUUUGCCAUUUUGAUUCUACUACGCAUCCAUGCAACCUGGAGGACAAUUAACGGGGAUCGGCGCGAUGUGGUCUGUUGGAUAACUACCCGUCUUGGUUAUAUAUGGCGGAACAAACGGUGGCUGGAAGACCAGGCCGUGGGCAUACCUGGAGGAGGGGUCAAAAGGACUGGACAGACCUGGACACCGCGACACAUCGAGAGUACCACAGCGCCUCCACAUGGCAUCCUUGGGUCAGGUCACCGCAACACAGGAUCUUGGAUGAGCCCUGGCCAUGAACUGCGACACGUUGAUUAUAAAGAGCAGGUCAAGCUGGUUGUUCUGAUGGAUGAAAGAUAAUAAAUUUGUUAAGCACUGCUCA